rnacentral:piRNA from 1 species
UGGGAAGCACCAAUCUAGUUCAGUUUUUGUG